rnacentral:rRNA from 1 species
GAUGAACGCUGGCGGCGUGCCUAAUACAUGCCAGUCGAGCGAACAGACGAGGAGCUUGCUCCUCUGACGUUAGCGGCGGACGGGUGAGUAACACGUGGAUAACCUACCUAUAAGACUGGGAUAACUUCGGGAAACCGGAGCUAAUACCGGAUAAUAUAUUGAACCGCAUGGUUCAAUAGUGAAAGACGGUUUUGCUGUCACUUAUAGAUGGAUCCGCGCCGCAUUAGCUAGUUGGUAAGGUAACGGCUUACCAAGGCAACGAUGCGUAGCCGACCUGAGAGGGUGAUCGGCCACACUGGAACGGAGACACGGUCCAGACUCCUACGGGAGGCAGCGGUAGGGAAUCUUCCGCAAUGGGCGAAAGCCUGACGGAGCAACGCCGCGUGAGUGAUGAAGGUCUUCGGAUCGUAAAACUCUGUUAUUAGGGAAGAACAAAUGUGUAAGUAACUAUGCACGUCUUGACGGUACCUAAUCAGAAAGCCACGGCUAACUACGUG